rnacentral:rRNA from 1 species
GCAUUCCAAUCAAACACGACCGCAGCCCUCAGACAGAUACCGGGGUAUCGGCGGCACGCCCGGGAGGGCGCCCCCCCGGCCCACCCGGGGCCGGCCGAAGCAAACAGGAACAAGAGACCGGGGGGGGUGGGCCCAAAGACCACCCCCCGUACUUUUUUCUGUAGGUGGACCUGCGGAAGGCAUUACCGAGUGCGGUCCUUUGGGCCCAACCUCCCAUCCGUGUCUAUUGUACCCUGUUGCUUCGGCGGGCCCGCCGCUUGUCGGCCGCCGGGGGGGCGCCUCUGCCCCCCGGGCCCGUGCCCGCCGGAGACCCCAACACGAACACUGUCUGAAAGCGUGCAGUCUGAGUUGAUUGAAUGCAAUCAGUUAAAACUUUCAACAUGGAUCUCGGUUCCGGCAUCGAUGAAGAACGCA